rnacentral:rRNA from 1 species
AUAACGGUCCUAAGGUAGCGAAAUUCCUUGUCAGGUAAGUUCUGACCCGCACGAAUGGCGUAAUGAUCUGGGAGCUGUCUCAACUGCCCGCCCGGCGAAAUUGUAGUACCGGUGAAGAUGCCGGUUACCCGCGACUAGACGGAAAGACCCCAUGGAGCUUUACUGUAGCUUAAUAUUGGAUUUCGGCAUUUCAUGUACAGGAUAGGUGGGAGACUAGGAAACAUAGGCGUCAGCUUAUGCGGAGUCGUCCUUGGGAUACCACUCUUGGAGUGCUGAAAUUCUAACCUGCAGCCCUGAAUCGGGUUGGGGGACAUUGUUAGGUGGGCAGUUUGACUGGGGCGGUCGCCUCCAAAAAGGUAACGGAGGCGCUCAAAGGUUGGCUCAGCAUGGAUGGAAACCAUGCCAUAGAGUGCAAACGCAAAAGCCAGCCUGACUGCGAGACUGACGGGUCGAGCAGAAACGAAAGUUGGAGUUAGUGAUCCGGCGGUAUGUGAAUGGAAAUGCCGUCGCUCAACGGAUAAAAGCUACCCUGGGGAUAACAGGCUGAUCUCCCCCAAGCGUCCACAGCGACGGGGAGGUUUGGCACCUCGAUGUCGGCUCGUCACAUCCUGGGGCUGAAUUCGGUCCCAAGGGUUCGGCUGUUCGCCGAUUAAAGUGGCACGCGAGCUGGGUUCAGAACGUCGUGAGACAGUUCGGUCCCUAUCUGUUGCGGGCGUAGGAAUAUUGAGAGGAGCUGUCCUUAGUACGAGAGGACCGGGAUGGACGUACCGCUGGUGCACCAGUUGUUCUGCCAAGGGCAUAGCUGGGUAGCUAAGUACGGACGAGAUAAACGCUGAAGGCAUCUAAGCGUGAAACUCCCCUCGAGAUAAGUGUUCCCAUCCUUCGGGAGUAAGGCCCCUUGUAGACUACAAGGUUGAUAGGUCAGGAGUGGAAGUGCAGUAAUGUAUGGAGCGGACUGAUACUAAUAGGCCGAGGGCUUGACCU